AUUGAACGCUGGCGGCAGGCCUAACACAUGCAAGUCGAGCGGAUGAAGGGAGCUUGCUCCUGGAUUCAGCGGCGGACGGGUGAGUAAUGCCUAGGAAUCUGCCUGGUAGUGGGGGAUAACGUCCGGAAACGGGCGCUAAUACCGCAUACGUCCUGAGGGAGAAAGUGGGGGAUCUUCGGACCUCACGCUAUCAGAUGAGCCUAGGUCGGAUUAGCUAGUUGGUGGGGUAAAGGCCUACCAAGGCGACGAUCCGUAACUGGUCUGAGAGGAUGAUCAGUCACACGGGAACUGAGACACGGUCCAGACUCCUACGGGAGGCAGCAGUGGGGAAUAUUGGACAAUGGGCGAAAGCCUGAUCCAGCCAUGCCGCGUGUGUGAAGAAGGUCUUCGGAUUGUAAAGCACUUUAAGUGGGGAGGAAGGGCAGUAAGUUAAUACCUUGCUGUUUUGACGUUACCAACAGAAUAAGCACCGGCUAACUUCGUG
rnacentral:rRNA from 1 species